UAAUACGGAGGGUGCAAGCGUUAAUCGGAAUUACUGGGCGUAAAGCGCACGCAGGCGGUUUGUUAAGUCAGAUGUGAAAUCCCCGGGCUCAACCUGGGAACUGCAUUUGAAACUGGCAAGCUAGAGUCUCGUAGAGGGGGGUAGAAUUCCGGGGAGGUGUAGCGGUGAAAUGCGUAGAGAUCUGGAGGAAUACCGGUGGCGAAGGCGGCCCCCUGGACGAAGACUGACGCUCAGGUGCGAAAGCGUGGGGAGCAAACAGGAUUAGAUACCCUGGUAGUCCACGCUGUAAACGAUGUCGAUUUGGAGGUUGUGCCCUUGAGGCGUGGCUUCCGGAGCUAACGCGUUAAAUCGACCGCCUGGGGAGUACGGCCGCAAGGUUA
rnacentral:rRNA from 1 species